rfam:Actibacterium atlanticum strain 22II-S11-z10 contig2, whole genome shotgun sequence.
GGCCAUUCUCAGGGCGGGGUGAAAUUCCCCACCGGCGGUUACAGCCCGCGAGCGCCACUUUUCGGAGUGGGUCAGCAGACACCGGUGAAAUUCCGGGGCCGACGGUUAAAGUCCGGAUGGUAGAGAAUGGAG